AUAAGUGAAUAGUGAAAUCUGGUGGCUCAACCAUACAGGCUAUUGUUCAAACUGUACAACUUGAGAGUGGUAGAGGACACUGGAAUUUCUUGUGUAGGAGUGAAAUCCGUAGAUAUAAGAAGGAACACCAAUGGCGUAGGCAGGUUACUGGACCAUUUCUGACGCUAAGGCACGAAAGCGUGGGGAGCGAACUGGAUUAGAUACCCAGGUAGUCCACGCCGUAAACGAUGGAUACUA
rnacentral:rRNA from 1 species